rnacentral:rRNA from 1 species
GAGGAGUUUGAUCCUGGCUCAGGACGAACGCUGGCGGCGUGCCUAAUACAUGCAAGUCGAGCGGACAGAUGGGAGCUUGCUCCCUGAUGUUAGCGGCGGACGGGUGAGUAACACGUGGGUAACCUGCCUGUAAGACUGGGAUAACUCCGGGAAACCGGGGCUAAUACCGGAUGGUUGUUUGAACCGCAUGGUUCAAACAUAAAAGGUGGCUUCGGCUACCACUUACAGAUGGACCCGCGGCGCAUUAGCUAGUUGGUGAGGUAACGGCUCACCAAGGCAACGAUGCGUAGCCGACCUGAGAGGGUGAUCGGCCACACUGGGACUGAGACACGGCCCAGACUCCUACGGGAGGCAGCAGUAGGGAAUCUUCCGCAAUGGACGAAAGUCUGACGGAGCAACGCCGCGUGAGUGAUGAAGGUUUUCGGAUCGUAAAGCUCUGUUGUUAGGGAAGAACAAGUACCGUUCGAAUAGGGCGGUACCUUGACGGUACCUAACCAGAA